GCGAAAGGUUCUCUGCUCUGCCAAAGUUCUGCCUAGGAUGUGAGGCUGAAAAUCUGUCUCAAUCAGAAACAGCAGCAGGCUCUUUAUGGCUGAUCAAACUCUUUCAGAACCUCAAGAACUUACUAAUGAACAAACCUCUUUGCAGAAAGGUUUUCCACCUUCUUUGGCACAAGGACUACCACAUUUACAAAAUUACCAGGAGACAUAUGAAUGAAGAUGCAUUGGAUCAUCUUUCCAAAUCGCGAAGCAAUCAUCAGAAAACUGGAAAAAUGUGAAAAUUGCAAAAGAAUCUUUAAACUGGCAUAAAGUGGAUCACACUAAAAUAUCGCUUCAAAACCAUAUCUGUAUUAAAUAUCAGAAGACUUUGAGUUGGGCUAUUAUUAGCUGCUUUCUUCAUGUAGGAAUCUGAUGAAAUAUACAAUCUUGAAUUGUAAGCAUAUUUUCCUUUGAAAAACUUUGGAGUUAUCUUGAUCGUCAGGCUGUUCAUUUUAACAGCUCCAUUAAUGAUUUAUGGACUAGUGAAACACAUUUUCAGAUUUUCUGACUAUCUUAUUCAUCCAACAUCAGAGAUUUGCUAAUCAUGUUCAGAAAAACAAGCUCUACAAGUCCACUAAUAGCAGUAGAAGCUAUGCACUAAAUGUUUGGAUUCAUAAUUUCUUGCAUGUUUUUUGGCAGUGAUGAGCUGCAUCAAUAUGGUGCUAGCUAUAAGAUAAUAGAUUAGAUUAGUGGUUGAUGCAUGAAAUGGAAGCCAGUGGACCUGUUGGAGUUUGUCAUUGUGCACUGUGCAUUGUCCUUGUCAGGGGUAUACGAACAGCGGUAAUACAAAGCAGAUGUUGACUGGGGCAUUUUUGUACAAAAUGUGAAACUGUAUCAGCAUGAAAGAUUUUAAAGGAUUUCAGUAAAUGAAAAGUAAGCCUUGCUAACUGCUAAUGUGGAGGACAGGCCGUUUUACUUGGAAACAUGUAACCAAACCAUAUGGUGCAUAGACACUGAAAAAAUGAUAGAUAACAUAAUAUCAGACAAUUUCCUAAUCAUACUCCAUCCAGUGUUGGACAUCCUUGCAUCAGUAAUAAUGGUUUCCAUAAACCGCUUCCACUUCUCCUGUUCCAAGGAGACACACUAAGUUAAUUGUUCAAGUUAGAAAAUAGAUUCCCCUGAUACUUUUCACAAUUACAUACUUUUGUGCCUUUUUUUUAUGAUUUCUGUGAAUUACACAUUUCCCAUUGAAGUGCAAUCAACAUUCAAUUCAAACAAACAAAGGGAAGGAUUAUUUUUUACAAAUGCUUGACUGAUAAAUAUUCAAAUACCAGUUACUCCAUUAUUUUCAGCUCUUAUUUAUUGCAUAUAUAUCCGUACCCAUUAACCUGUAAACAGUGCUUCCAAGUUACAAGUGUGCAAUCAAUUUAUUGGUAUGGAUUUGGAACGUUGUUCAGUUCUGGGUUAGCUCUCUCAUCUUAGUGUGAUCCAGUUUUGGGCGUUAGAGGUAUUGGUUCAACAGAAGGCUGUAACUAACGAUUGUUAAAUCAGUCAUUUCACUGUUGUGACAGGAUAACAUCCACGUUUAAAUCA